UGCGUAGGCGGUUCAGUUAGUCGUUGGUGAAAUCUCGGGGCUUAACCCCGAGGCUGCCGACGAUACUGCUGGACUAGAGGCCGGUAGAGGCAGAUGGAAUUCCCGGUGUAGCGGUGGAAUGCGUAGAUAUCGGGAAGAACACCAGAGGCGAAGGCGGUCUGCUGGGCCGGUCCUGACGCUGAGGCACGACAGCGUGGGGAGCAAACA
rnacentral:rRNA from 1 species